GCCAUAGCUCAGUGGUAAGGCAUCUGUCUUGCAUACAGAAGGUCCCAAGUUCAAGCCCUGGCAUCUCCA